UGCUUUAUUGUUGUUGUUUUUUUCCUCU
rnacentral:piRNA from 1 species